AUUGAACGCUGGCGGCAGGCCUAACACAUGCAAGUCGAACGAGUGGCGGACGGGUGAGUAAUGUCUGGGAAACUGCCUGAUGGAGGGGGAUAACUACUGGAAACGGUAGCUAAUACAGCAUACCAUCGGAUGUGCCCAGAUGGGAUUAGCUAGUAGGUGGGGUAAAGGCUCACCUAGGCGACGAUCCCUAGCUGGUCUGAGAGGAUGACCAGACACACUGGAACUGAGACACGGUCAAGACUCCGACGGGAGGCAGCAGUGGGGAAUAGUUCGCAGUGGUCGCAAGCCUGAUUCAGCCAGCCCCAGUGUAUGAAGAAGGCCUUCGGGUUGUAAAGUACUUUCACCGGGGAGGCGGUACCCGCAGAAGAAGCACCGGCUAACUCCGUGCCAGCAGCCGCGGUAAUUC
rnacentral:rRNA from 1 species